GUACACGCUGUGACUAGCAUAUCAAUAAGCGGAGGAAAAGAAACUAACAAGGAUUCCCCUAGUAACGGCGAGUGAAGCGGGAAGAGCUCAAAUUUGAAAUCUUAAAGGGUUUCCCUUUACGAAUUGUAGUUUAAAGAAGUGUUUUCUGUUGAGGUUUUGGUAAAAGUUCUUUGGAAUAGGACAUCAUAGAGGGUGAGAAUCCCGUAUUUGACCUUUACUUUCAACUUCGUGAUACACUUUCAAAGAGUCGGAUUGUUUGGGAAUGCAGUCCAAAAUGGGUGGUAAAUUUCAUCUAAAGCUAAAUAUUGGCGAGAGACCGAUAGCGAACAAGUACCGUGAGGGAAAGAUGAAAAGAACUUUGAAAAGAGAGUUAAACAGUACGUGAAAUUGUCAAAAGGGAAGCGUUUGACACCAGUGUUGUUUUUCUGAAAAUCAAUUAAAGAACUGUUUAUGCUAAGCUGUUUAGACUUUAUCAGCUAUCUGUUUAGUUUUGAGCUUUUCUUUAAUGCACUUUUCAGUUAACAAGUCAACAUCAAUUUCUUUUGCUGUAAAAAAGCUUGAGGAAGGUGGCUUGAGAUUCGUCUUAAGUGUUUAUAGCCUCUUGCCUACUGCAGUCGGAGAGAUUGAGGUCUGCAGCGUAGAUCCUUCGGGGCUAAAUGCAUUUGUGCUAAGUUAUAGCAUUUUAUAGACAACUUGUUGACUAUGAUUUGUCUUGUAGCUUACUCGCUUAUGUUAUUUUACCUACGCUUAGGAUGUUGAAGAUGUAGCACAUCAU
rnacentral:rRNA from 1 species